AGGGGAAUAUAGGACAAUGGGCGAAAGCCUGAUCCAGCCAUGCCGCGUGGGUGAAGAAGGUCUUCGGAUGGUAAAGUACGUUAAGUUGGGAGGAAGGGCAGUAAGCGAAUAGAGUGCUGUUUUGACGUGACCGACAGAAUAAGCACCGGCUAACUCUGUGCCAGCAGCAGCGGUAAGACAGAGGGGGCAAGCGUUAAUAGGAAUUACUGGGCGUAAAGCGCGCGUAGGUGGUUCGUUAAGUUGAAUGUGAAAGCCCCGGGCUCAACCUGGGACCUGCCUCCAAAACUGGCGAGCUAGAGUAGGGCAGAGGGUGGUGGAAUUUCCUGUGUAGCGGUGAAAUGCGUGGAUAUUGUGCGGAACACCAGUGGCGAAGGCGACCACCUGGGCUCGUAAUGACACUGAGGUGCGAAAGCGUGGGGAGCAAACAGG
rnacentral:rRNA from 1 species